rnacentral:rRNA from 1 species
UGUAAGCCCGGGGCGGGAGCCGGGGGAAGAAGGAGGGUGCAAAGGUUAUCCGGAUUUAUGGGGUUUAAAGGGUCCGUAGGGGGACUUAUAAGGCAGUGGUGAAAGCCUGUCGCUUAACGAUAGAACUGCCAUUGAUACUGGAAGUCUUGAGUAUAUGUGAGGUAGCUGGAAUAAGUAGUGUAGCGGUGAAAUGCAGAGAUAUUACUUAGAACACCAAUUGCGAAGGCAGGUUACCAAGAUAUAACUGACGCUGAGGGACGAAAGCGUGGGGAGCGAACAGGAUUAGAUACCCUAGUAGUC